rnacentral:tRNA from 1 species
GCACCCGUAGCUCAGUUGGAUAGAGUACCAGACUACGAAUCUGAUGGUCACACGUUCAAAUCGUGUCGGGUGCG